rnacentral:rRNA from 1 species
GCGGCAUGCCUUACACAUGCAAGUCGACCGUUAACAGGUCUUCGGAUGCUGACGAGUGGCGAACGGGUGAGUAAUACAUCGGAACGUGCCCAGUAAUGGGGGAUAGCUCGGCGAAGGCCGGAUUAAUACCGCAUACGCCCUGAGGGGAAAAGUGGGGGAUCGCAAGACCUCACGUUAUUGGAGCGGCCGAUGGCUGAUUAGCUAGUUGGUAGGGUAAAGGCCUACCACGGCGACGAUCAGUAGCUGGUCUGAGAGGACGAUCAGCCACACUGGGACUGAGACACGGCCCACACUCCUACGGCAGGCAGCAGUGGGGAAUUUUGGACAAUGGGGGAAACCCUGAUCCAGCAAUGCCGCGUGUGCGAAGAAGGCCUUCGGGUUGUAAAGCACUUUUGUCAGGGAAGAAAUCCUUUGGGCUAAUACCCUACGGGGAUGACGGUACCUGAAAAAUAAGCACCGGCUAACUACGUGCCAGCAGCCGCGGUAAUACGUAGGGUGCAAGCGUUAAUCGGAAUUACUGGGCGUAAAGCGUGCGCAGGCGGUUGUGUAAGACAGGUGUGAAAUCCCCGGGCUUAACCUGGGAAUUGCAUUUGUGACUGCACGACUAGAGUGUGUCAGAGGGGGGUGGAAUUCCACGUGUAGCAGUGAAAUGCGUAGAUAUGUGGAGGAGCACUUAUGGCGAAGGCAGCCCCCUGGGAUAACACUGACGCUCAUGCACGAAAGCGUGGGGAGCAAACAGGAUUAGAUACCCUGGUAGUCCACGCCCUAAACGAUGUCAACUAGUUGUUGGGGAUUUACUUCCUUGGUAACGUAGCUAACGUGUGAAGUUGUCCGCCUGGGGAGUACGGCCGCAAGGUUAAAACUCAAAGGAAUUGACAGGGACCCGCACAAGCGGUGGAUGAUGUGGAUUAAUUCGAUGCAACGCGAAAAACCUUACCUACCCUUGACAUGGCAGGAACUUUCCAGAGAUGGAUUGGUGCUGGAAAGAGAACCUGCACACAGGUGCUGCAUGGCUGUCGUCAGCUCGUGUCGUGAGAUGUUGGGUUAAGUCCCGCAACGAGCUCAACCCUUGUCAUUAGUUGAUACGAAAGGGCACUGUAAUGAGACUGCCGGUGACAAACCGGAGGAAGGUGGGGAUGACGUCAAGUCCUCAUGGCCCUUAUGGGUAGGGCUUCACACGUCAUACAAUGGUCGGUACAGAGGGUUGCCAAGCCGCGAGGUGGAGCCAAUCCCAGAAAACCGAUCGUAGUCCGGAUCGCAGUCUGCAACUCGACUGCGUGAAGUCGGAAUCGCUAGUAAUCGCGGAUCAGAAUGCCGCGGUGAAUACGUUCCCGGGUCUUGUACACACCGCCCGUCACACCAUGGGAGUGGGUUGUACCAGAAGUGGAUAGUCUAACCGCAAGGAGGACGGUCACCACGGUAGGAUU